GGUCUCGAGUACCAGUGCGUACCGGAAGGUGCGCUAAGUCCCGGCUUGCUGGUCGGCAACCCCCACGUGCGGAGGGUGCCCCGGGGUGACGACCUGGCCCGUGAGGGCAAUGACACGCA
rnacentral:ncRNA from 2 species